UCCACGCUUUAGUAUUGGGUUAUAAUAUGAGAAUAGUGCAAUUGGACAAGAUUAUUGAGGCACCACCUGUGGGGGCAAAAAUAGAAGGUAACUUUAAGAAACUACAAAUCUAUGACAGCAUAAUUAUACAGUAAGGUCAUCGAUGGACAAAGUUAUUGAGAGAACGUUCUGUGAAAAAAGUAUGACAAAAAAUAAAUAAAUACAUAAAUAAGUUUUAUCAUUGUCCAGAUAAUCUAUAGUAAAUUAAUUUAAAUAAUUAGACCAAGUGGUCUACCUCACCCCAGUUACCAAAGUCAUGGGUUAGUCGAAAAUGUAACAUAAAGAUAUAAUCAUAUAUUCAUGCGGGAAACAUGUUACAUGAAUAUGAUGUGUGUCAUGAGUUUUUCCGCUCCACGCUUUAGUAUUGGGUUAUAAUAUGAGAAUAGUGCAAUUGGACAAGAUUAUUGAGGCACCACCUGUGGGGGGCAAAAAUAGAAGGUAACUUUAAGAAACUACAAAUCUAUGACAGCAUAAUUAUACAGUAAGGUCAUCGAUGGACAAAGUUAUUGAGAGAACGUUCUGUGAAAAAAGUAUGACAAAAAAUAAAUAAAUACAUAAAUAAGUUGUAUCAUUGUCCAGAUAAUCUAUAGUAAAUUAAUUUAAAUAAUUAGACCAAGUGGUCUACCUCACCCCAGUUACCAAAGUCAGGGGUUAGUCGAAAAUGUAACAUAAAGAUAUAAUCAUAUAUUCAUGCGGGAAACAUGUUACAUGAAUAUGAUGUGCUGCCUAGCUAUAUCAUGACGCCCAGAGGUAAUUAGGUUAAAUGUAUGGCAUGCUAUAUACAUCUAUUGAGAUGGUAUCGAGGUAAACCAAAACUGUCACAUUACCUCCAGUC
rnacentral:lncRNA from 1 species